GAGAAAUAUAGGAACUUUUUC
rnacentral:piRNA from 1 species